rnacentral:rRNA from 1 species
UACGUAGGUGGCAAGCGUUGUCCGGAUUUACUGGGCGUAAAGAGCGCGCAGGCGGUCGUACAAGUCGCGUGUGAAAUCCCCAGGCUCAACCUGGGAACUGCGUCCGAUACUGGCAGGCUUGAAUCCGGGAGAGGGAUGUGGAAUUCCAGGUGUAGCGGUGAAAUGCGUAGAUAUCUGGAGGAACACCGGUGGCGAAGGCGGCAUCCUGGACCGGUAUUGACGCUGAGGCGCGAAAGCUAGGGGAGCAAACGGG